UACGGAGGGUGCAAACGUUAAUCGGAAUUACUGGGCGUAAAGCGCGCGUAGGCGGUUAUACAAGUGGGAUGUGAAAGCCCAGGGCUUAACCUUGGAAUUGCAUUCCAAACUGUAUGACUGGAGUACGAGAGAGGGGGUAGAAUUCAGGAGUGUAGCGGUGAAAUGCGUAGAUAUUCUGAGGAAUACCAGUGGCGAAGGCGGCCCCCUGGCUUGAUACUGACGCUGAGGUGCGAAAGCGUGGGGAGCAAAC
rnacentral:rRNA from 1 species